rnacentral:rRNA from 1 species
AUACGGAGGGCGCAAGCGUUAAUCGGAAUUACUGGGCGUAAAGCGCACGUAGGUGGUUUGGUAAGUUGGAUGUGAUAUCCCCGGGCUCAACCUGGGAAUGGCAUCCAAGAUUGCCAAGCUAGAGUCUGGUAGAGGGUGGUGGAAUUCCAGGUGUAGCGGUGAAAUGCGUAGAUAUCUGGAGGAACAUCAGUGGCGAAGGCGGUCACCUGGACCGAGACUGACACUGAGGUGCGAAAGCGUGGGUAGC